rnacentral:rRNA from 1 species
GUGGGGAAUUUUGGACAAUGGGCGAAAGCCUGAUCCAGCAAUGCCGCGUGUGUGAAGAAGGCCUUCGGGUUGUAAAGCACUUUUGGCAGGGAAGAAACAGUGCGUGCUAAUACCAUGCGCGAAUGACGGUACCUGCAGAAUAAGCACCGGCUAACUACGUGCCAGCAGCCGCGGUAAUACGUAGGGUGCAAGCGUUAAUCGGAAUUACUGGGCGUAAAGCGUGCGCAGGCGGCUUUGUAAGACGGAUGUGAAAGGCCCGGGCUCAACCUGGGAAGUGCAGUCGUGACUGGAAGGCUAGAGUGUGUGAGAGGGAGGGGGAAUUCCGCGUGUAGCAGUGAAAUGCGUAGAGAUGCGGAGGAACACCGAUGGCGAAGGCAGCCUCCUGGGAUAACACUGACGCUCAGGCACGAAAGCGUGGGGAGCAAACAGGAUUAGAAACCCCAGUAGUCC